rnacentral:rRNA from 1 species
CGCGCACACACCGCCCGUCACUCUCCCCAAGCCAAUAACAUCCUAUAACUAAUACAUUUCACCAGUAAAGGGGAGGCAAGUCGUAACAUGGUAAGUGUACCGGAAGGUGCACUUGGAAAAAU